rnacentral:rRNA from 1 species
AACGUAGGAGACGAACGUUAUCCGGAGUUACUGGGCGUAAAGGGCGUGUAGGCGGUUUGUUAAGUCUGGCGUGAAAGCUCUCGGCUAAACCGGGAGAGGUCGUUGGAUACUGGCGAACUCGAGGAUGGUAGAGGCGUGUGGAAUUCCAGGUGUAGCGGUGAAAUGCGUAGAUAUCUGGAGGAACACCGGUGGCGAAGGCGGCAUCCUGGACCGGCAUUGACGCUGAGGCGCGAAAGCCAGGGGAGCAAACGGG